rnacentral:rRNA from 1 species
UACGAAGGGGGCUAGCGUUGUUCGGAGUCACUGGGCGUAAAGGGCGCGUAGGCGGCUGUUCAAGUCGGGGGUGAAAUCCCGUGGCUCAACCACGGAAUGGCCUUCGAUACUGGACGGCUCGAGACCGGAAGAGGUGAGUGGAACUGCGAGUGUAGAGGUGAAAUUCGUAGAUAUUCGCAAGAACACCAGUGGCGAAGGCGGCUCACUGGUCCGGUUCUGACGCUGAGGCGCGAAAGCGUGGGGAGCAAACAGG